ACGCACGCUGGCGGCGCGCCUAACACAUGCAAGUCGAACGAGCGAGAGAGAGCUUGCUUUCUUGAGCGAGUGGCGAACGGGUGAGUAACGCGUGAGGAACCUGCCUCAAAGAGGGGGACAACAGUUGGAAACGACUGCUAAUACCGCAUAAGCCCACGACCCGGCAUCGGGUUGAGGGAAAAGGAGCAAUCCGCUUUGAGAUGGCCUCGCGUCCGAUUAGCUAGUUGGUGAGGUAACGGCCCACCAAGGCGACGAUCGGUAGCCGGACUGAGAGGUUGAACGGCCACAUUGGGACUGAGACACGGCCCAGACUCCUACGGGAGGCAGCAGUGGGGAAUAUUGCACAAUGGGGGAAACCCUGAUGCAGCGACGCCGCGUGGAGGAAGAAGGUCUUCGGAUUGUAAACUCCUGUUGUUGAGGAAGAUAAUGACGGUACUCAACAAGGAAGUGACGGCUAACUACGUG
rnacentral:rRNA from 1 species